rnacentral:rRNA from 1 species
CCGCAAUGGACGAAAGUCUGACGGAGCAACGCCGCGUGAGUGAUGACGGCCUUCGGGUUGUAAAGCUCUGUUAAUCGGGACGAAAGGCCUUCUUGCGAAUAGUGAGAAGGAUUGACGGUACCGGAAUAGAAAGCCACGGCUAACUACGUGCCAGCAGCCGCGGUAAUACGUAGGUGGCAAGCGUUGUCCGGAAUUAUUGGGCGUAAAGCGCGCGCAGGCGGAUAGGUCAGUCUGUCUUAAAAGUUCGGGGCUUAACCCCGUGAUGGGAUGGAAACUGCCAAUCUAGAGUAUCGGAGAGGAAAGUGGAAUUCCUAGUGUAGCGGUGAAAUGCGUAGAUAUUAGGAAGAACACCAGUGGCGAAGGCGACUUUCUGGACGAAAACUGACGCUGAGGCGCGAAAGCCAGGGGAGCGAACGGGAUUAGAUACCCCGGUAGUCCUGGCCGUAAACGAUGGGUACUAGGUGUAGGAGGUAUCGACCCCUUCUGUGCCGGAGUGAACGCAAUAAGUACCCCGCCUGGGGAGUACGACCGCAAGGUUGAAACUCAAAGGAAUUGACGGGGGCCCGCACAAGCGGUGGAGUAUGUGGUUUAAUUCGACGCAACGCGAAGAACCU